CUCGAGAGUUUGAUCCUGGCUCAGGGUGAACGCUCGCGGUGUGGAUAAGGCAUGCAAGUCGUACGCUCCGAAGCAAAGCUUUGCUUUGCUUCGGGGAGUGGCGAACGGGGCAGUAACACGUGUCUAACUCACCCUCCAGUUGGGCAUAACCAGUCGAAAGACUGGCUAAUUCCCAAUAGUCUCUUUAUUUCAAAAGAAAUAAAGAGUAAAGCCGAAAGGCGCUGGAGGAGAGGGGCGCGCCCGAUCAGCUAGUUGGCGAGGUAAUGGCUCACCAAGGCUAAGACCGGUAGGAGGCCUGAGAGGGUGUUCUCCGCCAAGGGCACUGAGACACGGGCCCUACUCCUACGGGAGGCAGCAGCCGAGAAUCUUCCGCAAUGGCCGAAAGGCUGACGGAGCGACACCGCGUGCCGGAAGAAGCCCUUCGGGGUGUAAACGGCUUUUGUGGGAGAGGAAGCUCUAGCUUUUGCUAGAGUUGACAGUAUCCCACGAAUAAGGGACGACCAACUUCGUGCCAGCAGUCGCGGUAAGACGAAGGUCCCAAGCGUUACCCGGAUUCACUGGGCGUAAAGGGCGAGAAGGUGGUGAAAAAAGUUCUUCCUUAAAGCCUCUUGGCCCAACCAAGAGGAAGGGAAGAAUACUAUUUCACUAGAGACCGGCAGGAGCCAGCGGAACGGUCGGUGUAGGGGUGAAAUCCGAAGAUAUCGACCGGAACGCCGAAGGCGAAGGCAGCUGGCUAGGUCGGUUCUGACACUGAUCUCGCGAAAGCUAGGGGCGCAAACCGGAUUAGAUACCCGGGUAGUCCUAGCUGUAAACGAUGGAUGCUAACUUUGGGGAGUUUCGACCCUCUCCGAGGUAAAGCUAACGCGUCAAGCAUCCCGCCUGGGGAGUACGGUCGCAAGGCCGAAACUCAAAGGAAUAGGCGGAAGCCCGAACAAGCAGUGGUCCAUGUUGCUCAAUUCGAGAGUGAACGAAACAUCUUACCCAGGCUUGACAUGCUUGUCUUAAUGCUUCCUUCGAAAGAAGGAAGAAAGCUACUUCGUAGCCGGGCAAGCACAGGUGCUGCAUGGCCGUCGUCAGCUCGUGGUGUGAAUCGUAACCUUAAGUGGCACAACGAGCGCAACCCCUAUCCUGUGUUAUAUGUGUCACAGGAAACUGCUGGGUACAACCCAGAGGAAGGUGGGGAUGACGUCAGGUCUGCAUGGCCCUUAUGCCUGGGGCGGCAAACAUGGAACAAUGGCAAGGACAAAGGGAAGCAAUGGCGCGAGCCGGAGCAAAUCCCUAAAACUUGCCUCAGUUCGGAUUGAAGGCUGAAACUCGCCUUCAUGAAGUUGGAAUUGCUAGUAAUCGCGGGUCAGCAUUACCGCGGUGAAUACGUUCUCGGGCUUUGCACUCACUGCCCGUCAGGUCAGGAGAGCUGCCUUUACCUAAAGUUCUGCUUUAGCAGAAUUAGGGUAAGGGCAGUGAUCAGGGCUAAGUCGUAACAAGGUAUCGCUACCGGAAGGUGGCGAUGGACCAAUUCCUUU
rnacentral:rRNA from 1 species